GCGGGUUUUAGCGCACUUGCGAACAGCAGCAAAAUAAAAGAUGAAAGACUAUCUCCAGUCUUUACGAAUUCAAGUAGAAUCUAGUAUAGAGGAGAUGAUUUUAUCGUGUGAGCAGUGUGCCUGCCCAGCAAGGGACCUGUUGCACCUUGGGACAGGAAUCCCACUCGGGGGGCAGCUUCUGCCUCAGGGUGUCAACCUACUUCACGGCUCAGGACUCCCAGGAAGACCAGAACACCCGGGUAGGAACUGAAUGGUUCAACACUUUACUCUCAGAGGCAGGGGAAGGAAUAAAAUCAACUUCGAUAGUAGCAUCCAUUUCCAUGGCCGGUGUUUCCAUCCUGUAGCCCUUAAACACGGUGACACUGCACGGACCUCUCUUCUACUGCAAGCAAAAGAAGUUACUCCCUCCCCGCAGGAAGUGGAUUUAGUAGCAACAGGACACACACGCUGAAGCGGAAGUAACGGG
rnacentral:lncRNA from 1 species